rnacentral:rRNA from 1 species
GAUGAACGCUGGCGGCGUGCCUAAUACAUGCAAGUCGAGCGAACAGACGAGGAGCUUGCUCCUCUGACGUUAGCGGCGGACGGGUGAGUAACACGUGGAUAACCUACCUAUAAGACUGGGAUAACUUCGGGAAACCGGAGCUAAUACCGGAUAAUAUAUUGAACCGCAUGGUUCAAUAGUGAAAGACGGUUUUGCUGUCACUUAUAGAUGGAUCCGCGCCGCAUUAGCUAGUUGGUAAGGUAACGGCUUACCAAGGCGACGAUGCGUAGCCGACCUGAGAGGGUGAUCGGCCACACUGGAACAGAGACACGGUCCAGACUCCUACGGGAGGCAGCAGUAGGGAAUCUUCCGCAAUGGGCGAGAGCCUGACGGAGCAACGCCGCGUGAGUGAUGAAGGUCUUCGGAUCGUAAAACUCUGUUAUUAGGGAAGAACAAAUGUGUAAGUAACUAUGCACGUCUUGACGGUACCUAAUCAGAAAGCCACGGCUAACUACGUG